AGAACCACAAGUGAUAGGAAAGAACCACUCAGCAGAAUAAAGGGAACUCUUCUGAUGAAUGCCUGAAGUAACUGGUAUCCCAUGAGAAGAUCUCUCUGCAGAUCUACAGGCAAGACCCAGCUGAUGUAGUUCCAUGGUGCUGCACAGACCUGGGACCAGCUGCCCUCAGCCUCCAGCACCAGGUUUUGUGUCAAGUCAGACACCAGGUAGAGACUCUUCAGGUGAGAUGUGUUCAGUUUGAGCUCCAGCUUCAUGUGAUCAAACCCCUUCUGCUGACAUGCAUUUGCACAUCUGGAAUACCAGCAGGUGAAUGCACAGUAUCACACAAAAAACCCACUGGCAAUUGUAAAUAAGAAUAAACCCUUCUUUUCAGCUUGUGGAAGAUGGUUG
rnacentral:lncRNA from 1 species